rnacentral:rRNA from 1 species
AUCUAAGGCCAUGCUGCCCUGAACAAGCCCAAUCCCGUCUGAUCUCGGAAGCUAAGCAAGGUCAGACCUGGUUAGUACUUGGAUGAGAGACCACCUAGGAAGACCAGGUGCAUAAAAAC